rnacentral:rRNA from 1 species
UACGGGGGGAGCAAGCGUUGUUCGGAUUUACUGGGCGUAAAGGGCGCGUAGGCGGUCGUGACAAGUCACUUGUGAAAUCGCCCGGCUCAACUGGGCGGGGUCGGCGGAUACGGCCGAGCUGGAGCAAGCUAGGGGGUAAUGGAAUUCCCGGUGUAGUGGUGGAAUGCGUAGAUAUCGGGAGGAACACCAGUGGCGAAGGCGGUUACCUGGAGCUUUGCUGACGCUGAUGCGCGAAAGCGUGGGGAGCGAUCCGG